GAGCGGGUAGCAAUACCAGCGGCAGACGGGUGAGUAACACGUGGGAACCUUCCUAGAGGUACGGAACAACGCAGGGAAACUUGCGCUAAUACCGUAUGUGCUCUUGCGAGGAAAGAUUUAUCGCCUUUAGACGGGCCCGCGUCGGAUUAGCUAGUUGGUGGGGUAACGGCCUACCAAGGCGACGAUCCGUAGCUGAUCUGAGAGGAUGAUCAGCCACACUGGGACUGAGACACGGCCCAGACUCCUACGGGAGGCAGCAGUGGGGAAUCUUGGACAAUGGGCGCAAGCCUGAUCCAGCCAUGCCGCGUGAGUGAAGAAGGCCUUCGGGUUGUAAAGCUCUUUUGUCAGGGACGAUAAUGACGGUACCUGAAGAAUAAGCCCCGGCAAACUUCGUG
rnacentral:rRNA from 1 species